UUAAGUUCAGCGGUAGUCCUACCUGAUUUGAGAUCGAACGUUAAAAAAGCUGUCCUCACUGAGGAGAGACGUCUAUGAGCCCCAGCGAACCUCCACUGCUGAAGGUUACCUGGUGGACAAUCGCAAGCGUAGAUAGUUAUCACACCUGUGAUGCCCACCAAACACUGGCAAGCUGAUUCAUUUUGGAGGAGCUGACUGUA
rnacentral:misc_RNA from 1 species